AUGAUGAUAAAAUGUCCUUUUAUCAGAGUUGUUGCAGUGCAGCCAAGGUGUUAGCUGUGACCCAAGAAUAAUUAAUCAGGAUUCUAUCAAGCACGUACUACCAGGCACCGUACAUACAGUAUUUUGCAAAGCUGAUAAGUUGUUGCUGAUAAGUUGUGUCCCACUCUUUGUGACCUCAUGGAUUGAAGCCCUCCAGGCUCCUGUGUCCAUGGGAUUUUCCAGGCAAGAAUACUGGAGUGGUUUGCCAUUUCCUUCUCCAGGGGAUCUUCCUGGCCCAGAGGCUGAACCCACAUCUCUCCCCUUGGCAGGCAGAUUCUUUACCACUGAGUCACCUCGGAAGCCCAGGCUGAUAAGAUGCAGAUUCUAACCUGGUCUGACCAACUCCAGAGUAAGUUCCUCCGGGUACCAUGAAAUGGUGGAGAGAGGAAGGGGCUAUCUUGGGAAGGGUGACAUGCAGGGACAAGGUUCUGGAGAGGGUGAGGGAUACUCAGCUCCGCCCUCUAGCUGAGGCACAUUCUUCCUAAGUCCAGACCUACAUGUCUUUCCCAUGUGAACCUGGCUCUUUCCCUUCUCCAGCAGGGACUGCCACCUCUAAUCGGCCCCGAGGCCAUGUCUUCUCUUUCCUCAGCUGGGAGGAUAUAAGCUCCCAGAUUCUCCUUGGCCCUGUCCUGCCGGCCGUGGUUCUCCAUCUUCUCAUCCCACAAACAGACGCCAGAAGUUCCAGACAGCUCACCUUGGAGUGACAGAACAGGCUGAACAAGGUCCAAAGUCAACGGACUGCUUAGGCAUAAGGCGCUACAGACCACCUGCCCUGGGGAGCAUCAGGCCAAGAUCUCCCUGGGGACAUCUCGCCUCUGGACCAUCUACGCAGCUGCCCCCAGCUGCCCUCAGUGGCCAGAGAAAUCUACCCUCACUGUCUCCUUUCUCUGUAGAUCCAGCUCCACUGGGAGUAGUCCGGGCCUGGGUUUUCACUUUGUUUUCACAUUACACAAGUGGAUCAUGAACAUAUUCUCAUUGGAAAAAAAAUAUACAAGUGCACAGAGUAAACAAUAACAGUUCUACUUUACCUCCGCCCUCUUAAACCUAUUCUCUCCCCAGGGUAACUACUGUUUACAGUUCGGUAUGUAUCAUUGCUGUCCAUCUUCUUGGUGUUUAUUUGCACAUAUUUAUCAUUUGGACUUGUUUGGGGCAUUUUAUAUACACAUCUCACAUAGUGUUCUGUACUUCGCUUUUUUUUCUGCUUACCAUAUGUUUUAAAGAUCUUCCCAUGUCAGGUCAUAUAAGUCUGCCUCAUUCAUUUUAACUGUUGCCUCAUAGCUAUCCCAUGGAUGUCCAAGGGCUUACAUAACCACUCCUCCGCUGAUGAACACAUAGGUCUUUUGCAGUGAACAUCAUGUAGUAUUGUUGUACCCCUGGGUGAUUACUUUCUGUAAGAGGAAUUGCUGCGUUCAAGAGUGUGAUAGUUUUUAUUUUUGCUAGCUUCUGCCAAAUUGCCCUCUAAAUGGCUGAAUCAAUUUAGCAUCUCACUAAUCCCCUGGGCAGCAAGAGAUCACACCAGUCAAUCCUAAGGGAAAUCACCCCUGAAUACUCAUUGGAAGGACUGAUGCUGAAGCUGAAGCUCCAAUACUUUGGCCACCUAAUGUGAACAACCGAUUGACUUAUUGGAAAGGACGCUGAUGCUGGGAAAGAUUGAGGGCAGGAGGAGAAGAGUGCAUGAGAGGAUGAGAUGGUUGAAUGGCAUCACCGAUUCAAUGAACAUGAACUUGGGCGAACUCCAGGAGAUGGUGAGAGACAAGGAGGCCUGCAUGCUGCUGUCACCCCUGUGGACAAAGAGUUGGACACAACUUAGCGACUGAACAACAACAAAAUCCCAUUUCGGAGUCAGAGACAGCAGUCCUCCAAGCUGACUCCCUGGCAGGUGGCUCUGAGAUGGUUCAUUUCCCCUCUGGAGAAGUUCUCUGGCAGCAGUAUGGGAAGGUGGACUCUAGCUGUGCCAGGGUCAUAGGAGGGUAACCAGUACAAUAGCGUGAUUACAAGCAGGGGAUUUGGAGCCAUUAAGACCUGAGUUUGAGUCCGGGCUCCAUCAUCCAUGAGCGUUGUGAUAUCUGGCAUAUAUAACUCUCUGAAGCUUUUCAGGUGAAGAAUAAGAGUAACAAUAACUAAUCAUAUUGACAGAUGGCCUAAAUCUUAAGCCAGAUGAUACAUACAUGUAAAGCACUUAGUACAGUCCCUACAUAGAGUAAAUGGCAAUGAAUGGAACCUGGCACUUUAUACCAUGACUCUGAUUGCUAAGAUCUGGGUUCUGUUACCCAAAACACAGCCCUCUUUCCUCUAGGGUGUCCUCAUAUCACUACCUGUGUCAGCCACUUGGCCCUGCCCCAGGGCGGGCACAGUGUCGGCUGGCUGCUGGCCCAUGCCUGUGGCGUGCGGAGGUCAGAGCCCAUGGGGAGUGGGGGAUAGCACCCAGCAGGCAGGAUGAGCAGUUCUGGCCUCCUGGCCUGCUGGCCUCCUGGCUAGGAGGGCAGACGGACACACCUGGAUAAACACCACUAAACAGAGGAGGGGGGUCUUACAAACACAGACCUGUGCCAGUGCAGCUUCUCCGAGAAAACACAUCGGAGCCAAGUCCCCAGGUGGGAGCAGGCGGAGAUGUGGAGUGCGUGUGGGUUGUAGGUGGGGGCAGGAGGCAGUGGGGGAGAGUGCAGCCAGAUAGAUGGACAGUGUGGAAAGGUGAAGCAGAGGACAGAAGUGGGGUGCAAGGGUUACCCAGAAGGUGGCUGUGCUCCCGGCACCCACUGUGAGAGGAAGGUGCCCUGGGCUAGUUGCCAGCACAGUCCUCAGUUCAAUUCCAAACCCACCUCUUGGCAGCUUGGCCUUAGGUAAAUCUUGCUCCUUUUCUGGACUGUGGUUUGAGCAUCUUAAAAUGGCUUAUGUGGGGGGUGCUGAACUUGAUUAUCUAGAAUCAUUUCCAGCUUGAAACUUCCAGGAAUUUCUGCCCUGUAAUAAAAUCCCUGCUAUGACCAGUCUCAUCUUGAAUUUGAGUCACUGUGGCCGUCACUCUAAUCUCUCCAAAGUGCCAGCACUUAACAGUUUAUAAACUAUGUUCACAUCUGUUUCUUCAUCUACUUCUGCCCUAUAUAGCUUUGGAUGCAGGUGGAGCAGAAAUUCAGAUCUCAUUCUACACAAGAUUACCUGGGGCUCACUAAGACGAAACCACUUAUAGGAGGCUGGCAUCUUGCCUCUCCAGAUCCCAACUGAGCCAUCCAAGGUGCAGACAGUGGGACGGGCUGAACCACUCAGUGUCCCCACACACACCACCAGCAAAAGACAUCUGACUCUGGUCACACCCACCGUGUCAGGUUCUUUGCCCACAUCACCUUGUCUAAUCCUCACAGCCACAAAAGGUAGGUGCAGUCAUGAUGCCCACUGUACAGAUGAGUAGUGGGACUCAGAGAGGUUGAGUUUUUGCCCAAGGUCAUGUAGCUGGUGAGCAGCAGAGCUAAGCUUCCCAAGGCCCUACAAGCAGACCUCACCUCUCCUUUGCUGCUUCCCAGAGAGGGAGCUCACACCUUCACUGACAUCUGAGAGCUUCACUUACCAUCUAUUUUACUCUAAACCAUUCUCAAGGUCCUGUUCCCUUGCUGUCUCCUCCAGGAAGCCCUCGCUGACCGUUCCUGCCACUCCCCGGCAUUCGUCCUUUUCUCUUUCCCCUGCACACACAUUUAAGCUUCCCAUCUGUGUCUUCUUGGUGCUCUUAAUCAUGCUCCAUUGGGUAGAAAAGGGAUUCUCCUCCUCUCCAGCUGGAACUUGUCAUCAUAAAGUGGGAUUUGCCUUUUUUCCAUUGUAUAUCCUUGCCUCCUUUGUCAAAGAUAAGGUGUCCAUAGGUUCGUGGAUUUAUCUCUGGGCUUUCUAUUCUGUUCCAUUGAUCUAUA